GACGAACGCUGGCGGCGUGCCUAACACAUGCAAGUCGAACGGGGUAGAGAGCUUCGGUUUUCUACUUAGUGGCGAACGGGUGAGUAACGCGUGAGAAACCUGCCUUUCAGUGGGGGACAACAGUUGGAAACGACUGCUAAUACCGCAUAAUGUUAUUUGGGGGCAUCCCUGAAUAACCAAAGCUUUAUGUGCUGAAAGAUGGUCUCGCGUCUGAUUAGCUAGAUGGCGGGGUAACGGCCCACCAUGGCGACGAUCAGUAGCCGGUCUGAGAGGAUGAACGGCCACAUUGGGACUAAGAUACGGCCCAGACUCCUACGGGAGGCAGCAGUGGGGAAUAUUGGGCAAUGGGGGAAACCCUGACCCAGCAACGCCGCGUGAGGGAAGAAGGCUUUCGGGUUGUAAACCUCUUUUAGCAGGGACGAAGAACGUGACGGUACCUGCAGAAAAAGCAACGGCUAACUACGUGCCAGCCGCCGCAGUAAGAC
rnacentral:rRNA from 1 species